rnacentral:rRNA from 1 species
UACGUAGGGGGCAAGCGUUGUUCGGAUUUACUGGGCGUAAAGGGCGCGUAGGCGGCCAGCACACGUCAGUUGUGAAAUCUCCGAGCUUAACUCGGAAAGGUCAACUGAUACUGUGCGGCUAGAGUGCGGAAGGGGCAACUGGAAUUCUUGGUGUAGCGGUGAAAUGCGUAGAUAUCAAGAGGAACACCUGCGGCGAAGGCGGGUUGCUGGGCCGACACUGACGCUGAGGCGCGAAAGCUAGGGGAGCGAACGGG